rnacentral:misc_RNA from 1 species
GAUGAAGAACGCAGCGAAAUGCGAUAAGUAAUGUGAAUUGCAGAUUUCAGUGAAUCAUCGAAUCUUUGAACGCACCUUGCGCUCCUUGGUAUUCCGAGGAGCAUGCCUGUUUGAGUGUCAUUAAAUUCUCAACCUCACCAGUUUUCUGAACUGUUCUUCGAGGCUUGGAUGUGGGGGUUUGUGCAGGCUGCCUCACGGCGGUCCGCUCCCCUGAAAUGCAUUAGCGAGUUCAUACUGAACUUCCGUCUAUUGGUGUGAUAAUUAUCUACGCCGUGGACGAGGAUCAGACUCGCUUCUAACCGUCCGCGAGGACAAUACCUUGACAAUUUGACCUCAAAUCAGGUAGGACUACCCGCUGAACUUAAGCAUAUCAAUAAGCGGAGGA